GUCUAUGACCAUGCCAUCCUGAACGUGCCCGAUCUCGUCUGAUCUCGGAAGCUAAGCAGGGUCAGGCCUGGUUAGUACUUGGAUGGGAGACCACCUAGGAAGACCAGGUACUGUAGCCA
rnacentral:rRNA from 1 species